GAGUUUGAUCGUGGCUCAGAACGAACGCUGGCGGCAUGCCUAACACAUGCAAGUCGAACGAACUCUUCGGAGUUAGUGGCGCACGGGUGCGUAACGCGUGGGAAUCUGCCCUUGGGUACGGAAUAACUCAGAGAAAUUUGUGCUAAUACCGUAUAAUGACUUCGGUCCAAAGAUUUAUCGCCCAAGGAUGAGCCCGCGUAAGAUUAGCUAGUUGGUGGGUAAAGGCCUACCAAGGCUACGAUCUUUAGCUGGUCUGAGAGGAUGAUCAGCCACACUGGGACUGAGACACGGCCCAGACUCCUACGGGAGGCAGCAGUGGGGAAUAUUGGACAAUGGGCGAAAGCCUGAUCCAGCAAUGCCGCGUGAGUGAUGAAGGCCUUAGGGUUGUAAAGCUCUUUUACCCGGGAUGAUAAUGACAGUACCGGGAGAAUAAGCUCCGGCUAACUCCGUGCCAGCAGCCGCAG
rnacentral:rRNA from 1 species